rnacentral:rRNA from 1 species
CUGCUGCCUCCCGUAGGAGUCUGGUCCGUGUCUCAGUACCAGUGUGGCCGUCCACCCUCUCAGGCCGGCUACUGAUCGCUGCCUUGGUGGGCCGUUACCCCGCCAACUAGCUAAUCAGACGCGGAUCCAUCGUAUACCACCGGAAUUUUUCACACUGCCCCAUGCGGAGCCGUGCGCUUAUGCGGUAUUAGCACCUAUUUCUAAGUGUUAUCCCCCGGUAUACGGCAGGUUAUCCACGCGUUACUCACCCGUCCG